GAUCCUGGCUCAGAAUCAACGCUGGCGGCGUGCCUAACACAUGCAAGUCGAACGAGAAAAUUCGGGUGUAGCAAUACAUCCGGGUGAGUAAAGUGGCGAACGGGUGAGUAACACGUAGCUAACCUGCCCUCAAGCGGGGGAUAACCUGGGGAAACUCGGGCUAAUACCGCAUAACAUCCUGGUGGCACAAGCCGCCGGGACCAAAGGCCCGCAAGGGCCACUGGAGGAGGGGUCUGCGGCCGAUUAGCUAGUUGGCGGGGUAACGGCCCACCAAGGCGAUGAUCGGUAGCCGGCCUGAGAGGGCGCACGGCCACACUGGCACUGAAACACGGGCCAGACUCCUACGGGAGGCAGCAGUGGGGAAUUUUGCACAAUGCCCGAAAGGGUGAUGCAGCAACGCCGCGUGAGGGAUGAAGGCCUUCGGGUCGUAAACCUCUUUCGACCGGGAAAAAUGGUUCGCUGAAGAGGCGGGCCUGAUGGUACCGGUGGAAGAAGCCCCGGCUAACUACGUGCCAGCAGCCGCGGUAAUACGUAGGGGGCGAGCGUUGUUCGGAAUUACUGGGCGUAAAGGGAGCGUAGGCGGUGCGGUAAGUCUGGUGUGAAACCUCCAGGCUCAACUUGGAGCUUGCAUCAGAAACUYCCGUGCUAGAGUGCGGGAGAGGAGAGUGGAAUUCCUGGUGUAGCGGUGAAAUGCGUAGAUAUCAGGAGGAACACCGGUGGCGAAGGCGGCUCUCUGGACCGCAACUGACGCUGAGGCUCGAAAGCUAGGGGAGCAAACA
rnacentral:rRNA from 1 species